UACAGGGGGGGCAAGCGUUGUUCGGAAUUACUGGGCGUAAAGGGCUCGUAGGCGGCCAACUAAGUCAGACGUGAAAUCCCUCGGCUUAACCGGGGAACUGCGUCUGAUACUGGAUGGCUUGAAUCCGGGAGAGGGAUGCGGAAUUCCAGGUGUAGCGGUGAAAUGCGUAGAUAUCUGGAGGAACACCGGUGGCGAAGGCGGCAUCCUGGACCGGCAUUGACGCUGAGGAGCGAAAGCCAGGGGAGCAAACGGG
rnacentral:rRNA from 1 species